rnacentral:rRNA from 1 species
GAGCGGCGGACGGGUGGAGUAACACGUGGACAAUCUGCCCCCCGGCCCGGGAUAGCCCAGGGAAACCGUGGAUUAAUACCGGAUGAGACGGGACCCGCGAAGGCGGGACCCGGGAAAGGCGCUGCGGCGCCGCCGGGGGAUGAGUCUGCGUCCCAUUAGCUAGACGGCGGGGUAACGGCCCACCGUGGCGACGAUGGGUAGCCGGCCUGAGAGGGUGGACGGCCACAUUGGAACUGAGACACGGUCCAGACUCCUACGGGAGGCAGCAGCUAAGAAUCUUCCGCAAUGGGCGAAAGCCUGACGGAGCGACGCCGCGUGAACGAAGAAGGCCGUGAGGUUGUAAAGUUCUUUUCGGGAGGGGGAACAACCGUGGCAGGGAAUGGCCGCGGGAUGACGUGAAUCCCGGAAUAAGCCCCGGCUAACUACGUGCCAGCAGCUGC